rnacentral:rRNA from 1 species
AAAUCAGCACGGCCCUUAUGUCCAGGGCUACACACGUGUUACAAUGGCCGGUACAGAGGGCAGCUACCUGGAGACAGGAUGCGAAUCUCGAAAGCCGGUCUCAGUUCGGAUCGGAGUCUGCAACUCGACUCCGUGAAGCUGGAUUCGCUAGUAAUCGCGCAUCAGCCAUGGCGCGGUGAAUACGUUCCCGGGCCUU